rnacentral:rRNA from 1 species
AUGCUCGUCCUGAACAGCCCGUCGUCGCGGAGGCUCAUGUGCCGCGUCACCGACCUGUUCACGGCCGCCGGGUACAGCCUGGCCAACGCCUGCAACGGCUUCCUCCUCUUCGCGCCGCGCAUCCACGACUGGCCCCUUUUCGUCUGCAACCCCGUCACCGGCGAGAAGCUGCUUCUCUCGGAGGCGCCCUCGGUCCAACACGAGGUCAGCUACGCCCUGGGGUUCAGCCCUUCCACCCGCCGGUACAAGCUCUUCCGCCUCUCCUUCCCGCCCAAUGGCUGUUACAUGGACGUGCGCACCUUAGGCGGCAGUGGCGACCAGCUGUGGCGCAGGUACCCGGACCCGCUCCAAUGUCGAGCAGUCUCAGCACCGUCUCCGGCGCUCGUAGGCGGCAAGAUCUACUUAACAUGUGGCGAGGGGAUAUUGGUGAUGGACGUGGCAACCGAGGCGCACUGCACCUACCCCCUCCCCAUGCACGAGGGGGAGAAGCUCGCCUUCGAGCUGCGCGGCCGGCUGUGCGUCGCGGUGCACGUCGUCGCCCAAUGCAAGCUCUUCUUCUGGGUAUUGCAUCUCGACCAAGACAAGAAGGAUGGUACACCCUUGCUUGACUGGGAACUACGCUACACCUUCCACAUGGUCCAUGGCGGCGACAACAAUGACGGUGAAGACCAGCCGAGGGGCGCUGGAUUCGACGACCGUAACGGGAUGCUAUGCUACAGGAUGAGUGACCGUCUUCACAGGUACAACACCACCGAGAACGACCAUCAUCAUAAGGUUGGUGCUUUGUUGGAAUGGAACAACAUAAGCCAACUGCCCAACAAAGAUUGGUGGAACGUCUAUGGCGGUUACCGUCCCACCCUAGUCUCGCCACGUUCCCUCCUUGUUGACCCCCUUGCUGAGCACCGCCACAAAGAAUUUGAGGACUCUCUGUUAGCUGCUUUGCGUGAUCCAUAA